AUACGUAGGGUGCAAGCGUUAAUCGGAAUUACUGGGCGUAAAGCGUGCGCAGGCGGUUUUGUAAGACAGUGGUGAAAUCCCCGGGCUCAACCUGGGAACUGCCAUUGUGACUGCAAGGCUAGAGUACGGCAGAGGGGGAUGGAAUUCCGCGUGUAGCAGUGAAAUGCGUAGAUAUGCGGAGGAACACCGAUGGCGAAGGCAAUCCCCUGGGCCUGUACUGACGCUCAUGCACGAAAGCGUGGGGAGCAAACAGGAUUAGAUACCCUGGUAGUCCACGCCCUAAACGAUGUCAACUGGUUGUUGGGUCUUCAUUGACUCAGUAACGAAGCUAACGCGUGAAGUUGACCGCCUGGGGAGUACGGCCGCAAGGUUGAAACUCAAAUGAAUUGGCGGGG
rnacentral:rRNA from 1 species